GCUUCCGUGGAUUAGCGGUAAAUCACCUCAGCUUCAUAAAGAGGGUAGGGAUUCAUGAGGAGUCGUGGGUUCGAAUCCCACUGGAGGCA